GAUGAACGCUGGCGGCGUGCCUAAUACAUGCAAGUCGAGCGAACAGACGAGGAGCUUGCUCCUCUGACGUUAGCGGCGGACGGGUGAGUAACACGUGGAUAACCUACCUAUAAGACUGGGAUAACUUCGGGAAACCGGAGCUAAUACCGGAUAAUAUAUUGAACCGCAUGGUUCAAUAGUGAAAGACGGUUUUGCUGUCACUUAUAGAUGGAUCCGCGCCGCAUUAGCUAGUUGGUAAGGUAACGGCUUACCAAGGCAACGAUGCGUAGCCGACCUGAGAGGGUGAUCGGCCACACGGGAACUGAGACACGUUCCAGACUCCUACGGGAGGCAGCAGUAGGGAAUCUUCCGCAAUGGGCGAAAGCCUGACGGAGCAACGCCGCGUGAGUGAUGAAGGUCUUCGGAUCGUAAAACUCUGUUAUUAGGGAAGAACAAAUGUGUAAGUAACUAUGCACGUCUUGACGGUACCUAAUCAGAAAGCCACGGCUAACUACGU
rnacentral:rRNA from 1 species